rnacentral:lncRNA from 1 species
GAAUUUCCUGCCAUAGUGCUGAAGAAGUUAAAUGUUCUAAGCAUAUUUUAAUAGAUUAUAAAAAAUGAUUUAUUUUUACGUUUUGAAUAUUAUUUUGAAGUUGCAGGCUUUAAAAUGCAAAAAUAUAAAGUUGGUUUUAUUUUUGACUAAACAUAAUAGAGAGAAUCUUAAUCCCAAGGAGCUCAAGACACUAGCGGUAGGAGCAUUGCUUGAGUCAAUUGGAACAGAUUCAAGAUACUCUGAAAUUGAGGUUGCCUAUCUGGAGGAAGAGGAUAAUUAUGUGUAAAAAUUUCUUGAGUAGUGCUGAGCCUUUAUGCUUUAAUUAGAAAGUAACUUUAAGAACAAUAUGAACAAUUUAAAGAGAUAAUAAAAUUUGAUAAAAAUAUAUAUUUCAUCAAGUUAAGCAAUGCAGCUUUGUAAUGACACACAAAGUUAACUCGAUU